UUUGAUGGCGACCGGCGCACGGGUGAGUAACACGUAUCCAACCUGCCGAUGACUCGGGGAUAGCCUUUCGAAAGAAAGAUUAAUACCCGAUGGCAUAGUUCUUCCGCAUGGUAGAACUAUUAAAGAAUUUCGGUCAUCGAUGGGGAUGCGUUCCAUUAGGUUGUUGGUGAGGUAACGGCCCACCAAGCCUUCGAUGGAUAGGGGUUCUGAGAGGAAGGUCCCCCACAUUGGAACUGAGACACGGUCCAAACUCCUACGGGAGGCAGCAUG
rnacentral:rRNA from 1 species